GGUUGAAUUCGUCCUCAUCACUGUUGUUGCUGUUCUCAUCACUGUUGUUGCUAUUCGUCACUUCAGAGCUGGAGCAGGGAACCAGAGACCACCUGAUGACCACACUGUUUCUUACUCGGUAAGAAGCAGAACAGCGAGGCGUUCAGGUCCAGCAGCCAGUCAGGAGAUGAAUGAUGAAGAUGAUGGUGCGGUGAACUAUGAAAACUGAUCAACCACUUCCACAUCAACAUCAGCUCACCAGAGAAACGGCUCCCUGACUGUUAUAUCAUUAAUAU